rnacentral:rRNA from 1 species
AGAUUGAACGCUGGCGGCAUGCUUUACACAUGCAAGUCGAACGGUAACAGGCCGCAAGGUGCUGACGAGUGGCGAACGGGUGAGUAAUGUAUCGGAACGUGCCCAGUCGUGGGGGAUAACGCAGCGAAAGCUGCGCUAAUACCGCAUACGAUCUAUGGAUGAAAGCGGGGGACCGUAAGGCCUCGCGCGAUUGGAGCGGCCGAUAUCAGAUUAGGUAGGUUGGUGGGGUAAAGGCUCACCAAGCCAACGAUCUGUAGCUGGUCUGAGAGGACGACCAGCCGCACUGGGACUGAGACACGGCCCAGACU